UACAGAGGUCCCAAGCGUUGUUCGGAUUCACUGGGCGUAAAGGGUGCGUAGGUGGCAAGGUAAGUUUGAUGUGAAAUCUCCGGGCUUAACCCGGAAACUGCAUUGGAAACUACCUUGCUGGAGGGUUUGAGGGGGGACUGGAAUUCUCGGUGUAGCAGUGAAAUGCGUAGAUAUCGAGAGGAACACCGGUGGCGAAGGCGAGUCCCUGGAAAACACCUGACACUGAGGCACGAAAGCUAGGGGAGCAAACAGG
rnacentral:rRNA from 1 species